ACCAUAACGCCAAUUUACCUCUAAAGUUCACUAUGAAUGUUAAUCCAGUAUCCAGUAUAUACUUGUGGAAUUUCUUACAAUAAAUGCUAAACUCAAGAUUUGACUUCUCCUUGAGAGUUCAGGCAGGCAGAAGGCAUGACAUGCCAGGUGACGCCACUCGAAUACUUCCGAUUGUUCAAUUAAUGCUCCACAAAUUAGUCCAUGUAUAAGAAAUUUUGGUCAUUCAUCAUUGAAAGUUUGUUGCAGUUUCGGUGAAAAAACCCCAAAACGAGUCUUCUCUUUUUAAAAAAAAAAUUGUAAAGCUUGAUGGAUACAUAAUUGUGAUCGAUUAUGAACGAGAGAUAUUGGACCAUUUUACGGCCAAUUACCACUUGACGAAAUAUCGACAAAAAGGUUGUCAAAAAGUACUAUGUAUAGGUGUAAAAUACAUCAAAGUUUUAAUGUACACAGGUUAUGAUGUGUAAUCAAAGACAGGGGCCUGUUGAUGAUGUAUUAGAAAUCAGAUUUGCUGGUUUGAUUUCUUUCAUGUGUUCAGAUGUUCAGCUUCUGAGGAUCACUCAAAGAAAAACUUGUGCAAUUAGGAAAAUUUUAUUCCAUUAUUAUCUUGCUUUGACUGACUAUAUAGAAACUUAUUUAGAGAAAACAAGUGUAUAUAUAUAUGGAACUGAUUUUUAUUCAAGGGCAGAAAUUUAAUGCAAAUAUGAGAGAUUUCAGAAGUGUGAAGUUUAUAUUGAAAUUUAAGUGCAUGGCCCAUGUUUGACAUUUUAGACAUGUGUGAUUUGAAAAUGAACUUCAUGCUACAGUUGGAGAACAAUGAAACAAAUAAAGAGUUGGUGUGACUCUGUAGUAUGCUAAA